ensembl:rRNA 5S_rRNA 5S ribosomal RNA
GUCUAUGGCCAUACCACCCUGAAUGCACCCCCCGCCAUCUCGUCUGAUCUUGGAAGCUAAGCAGGGUCAGGUCUGGUUAGUACUUGGAUGGGAGAGAUACAGGACUUCAAAACA